CAACAGACACCAGGAGCUACUUGAAGGCUGGGUCAUUGGCCUUAUCCCGCACCGAAGUUGAAACUUACACCAUCUGUUCACAUCAUCAGUUCUUCUGGUUCUCAUGCUUUUGAACUUCAACUGGCACAAUUCCACUGGCUCUCCUUAGUCUCCAGGUUGCAGAUGGCAGAUUAUAAAUCUCCUUAGCCUCCACCUUUAUAAUCCUAACUAUUACUGACACCUCUUUGAGGACAAAGGAAGUAGCUUUCUGCAAGCCAAAAAGACCUCAGAAAAACAACAAAUCUUCCAAACUCUUGAUUUUGACUUUUUGCCUCCAGAAUUGUGAAGAAAUAAAUAUCUGUUAUUUAAGUAGGCUAGUGUCUGGUAUUAUGUUAUGGCAGCCCUAGUAAACUAAUAUAGGUGUUCAUAACCAUAGGAAUAAACAAAGGAGCCAGACCUGGGUAGCACACAAACGACUUGAAAGAACGUGGAGUGAGUAGUAAGUGACUUUCCCAGGCCAUAGUAGGGCCCUUCUUCUCUUUCAAUCAUAUAAUUAGUUUUUCAGGCAUUGUUAGCGAGCUACAUGAAUAAGUAGACCCAGCAGACAUUCAUUCUUGAGACUGUAUUCCCCCAAAAGACUGAAUAUAUGGGCAGCAAACCUCAAUGAAGAGAAUAUUGAAAUAAGGCUACUCCUAUCUGUUCCACACAUCACACAUAUUGUGUUGGUUUCUAUUGCUCACCAAUUAGUUAAAACUUCAUGGACUAAGAUAAUAUUUAUUUAUGAUAUCAAAGUUUCUGUAGGUCAGAAACCCUGGCACUGGGCUGGGCGCGGUGGCUCACGCCUGUAAUCCCAGCACUUUGGGAGGCUAAGGAGGGUGGCUC
rnacentral:lncRNA from 10 species